rnacentral:lncRNA from 1 species
GUGUAAUUUCGAUCCACUUUGCUUGCUUAAAAAUGAAUAUUUUUACUAACUCUGCACGACUCGCAGAGUGCCGCUGUUAUUGAUCAACUGGGGAUCGUGCGCGCGCAUGUGAGCUUACUAUUCUACGUCCCAUUCCAGCAGAUUCGGAAAAAGACACUGCAGAGCUGUAAUGAAAAGACGUUGGUACAUUCUGAAUGUUUUUAAAUAAAUGUCGAUUCAAUUAUUACGCUGUGUUGUUUCCUAAGUACCUGCGACACGGUUUUGUGUGACAUUUUAACAUGAUUUCACGUGGUGAUAUGUUUCCCGUUAUCUUGGCGCAUUCCACUCUAUGGAAAAUGAGUCACUCAAAUUAACGUGUAUUUCAUUCAAUUCACUUCUAUAUACACUGAAUGAAAAUAUAGCGUUAUUUAGCAGUCUGUUAAGUGCAAAUAGCUAUAGAUUUUAUUUACACUAUGUUAAACCAUCAGGAUUAUGCAAUGGAAAUAUUUAUAAGUUAUCAAAUGGAUGCUGCCUUAUGGGACAAAGUCUUCUCUACACCUACCACAACCCAAAUAUGUAUCAAGCUAUUUUGGUGCUUUAUUUCCAUCUUUCCAUUCAACAUGUUUUUCUAUUUUUUAUUUCUUGUUUAGGCGUGCAUUAAUCGUAGAUGAUCCGUGAUCCUUAUGGACCAGUCCCAGCGAUUCUCGGAUUGACUGUUAAAUUUAACCAUCAUAGAGUGAAAGUUUACCAAUUGCAUAUGUUUUGUCUUGCCAGUUUACAAAUUCAAGCACUUUUAACUCGUGCACUUUUUUUCUGUGCGCUCAGCUGCUGCCGCGCGCAACCGAAGCGCGCACACGCAGAGAGAGAGAGAGGCGCGAUUCAGACACCGCGUGAUUCCUCUUUCACAUACACACAAAGCACAUCAGAACUGAACACGCUGGACUUUAUCACCUGGAUAUCACCGGCAACCGGCGCACAAUAUUCAAGAGAUUCUUUAUUUCUGUCUGUUGUGAGUAUUUGAAGUAUUUUAAUGUCGGCUAAUAAUAACUAGUGCUGUGAGAACAGUUGAGUGAACUUAAUAUUGGUGUAUUAUAUAACUGACAAACAAAAUAGAAAUGUGCAAAUGUCACUCAGAAAGGCUGAUAAAAUUGAUGACAGGUUCAUCUUUUCUCUUUACAGCACAGAAUUGGUUCGAUAUGUUAUGGUCGUAAUUGUUGUUGCUGUUUUGCUGUUGGUCGAUAUAUUAAGUGAGCAUUUGAGGUUACUAUGUAACAGACACUUUGAAGAAUGAAAAAAAGAAUGUGUUUCAUCAAUCAAAACAUUUUAAAUAUGUGUUUAAUUGGGCUUACUGCCAUUAGGGGAAAUCCAGUAUCAGGUAAGAUGAUGUUUGCACUAUUAUGUGCAACAUAAUACAAUUGUGUUUUUGCUGACUCUGUUUUUGAGGAAUUUAAUGUUAUUUUGGGGCUUUGUGACACUACUGUCCAAACUGGAGCUCAGAUUGUCAGUUAUGCCAUUAGAAAAAAGAAACCCUCCAAGAACUUCCUCAAAUGCUGACUUUUUGGAGAAGUGAUACCAGUCUGGUCUACGCUGUCUUAUUUAAUGUUAGUUUUGGACACAUUUUCAGACUGAGAAUAUCAACAUCUCAAGAAUGGCUCUGUAAUAUGAGAGCGUUGUUUUGAUCGAGUGCCGUGAUCAGAUGCCCGUCCAAUUCCACUAAAGGAGGAAAUGAAAUCCAGCUAAAAACAUUCACCAACAUUAACCAGUUUUUUACCAUGACAUUUUCAAAGGAAUAAUUUAAUUAAUUAAAAUAAUGUUGUUUCGAUGUCUGUUUGAAGUAUUAAAUAGAUCAUGGUGCUGGCAACAUAAAUGAAAACUGAAUGCAAUCCGGGUCAUUUUGUGCUAUCUCUAAAAUACCUUUAGCUUUUUUUCGCAACCAAGUAAAAAAGUGUCUUAAAGUCAAGCAGGUUUUUAGGAAAAUCUUUUUAUGCUAUAAAUUGGAAUCAGUGUUUUUACUCUUAACUGCUGUAAAUUGUGAAUUUGUUUGCCGUUAAAUGUUUCCUGAGUUCAUUUUCUGAAAUAACGGUGUACUGAGCUUUUGCUAAAUGAUUUAAAGUUUGACCUUUAAUAUUUUAGGCUUUUUUGGACAUAAUCUGAAGAUUCAUAAUAGAAACCUGUCUGAGUGACUUCUGUUUAUCUCUUUCAUAUUAUUUUUUAUAUUCUCUCAGUUCAUUUGUUGCUCAUUUCAUCGGUCACUGUCAAAUCUUAUUUUGUUAUGUGGUGUCUUGUCUUUACAAGUAAAUUAGAAAUAAGGGAAAGUCUCCAUUUCAGGGUAUGCCUUUGCUUUCAUAUAGUUAUACUUGUUGAAUUUAUGCUGGUCAAGGUCUGUAUUUUUAAAGCUGGUUUUAUUUUGAUAUUUCAUUGUGAAUAAUAAUGAACUUUAAAUGAUCUUUAUAUGUUUAUGUGAUAAAUGCCAAUAAAAACAGGUCUGAUUUUCUAUAGUGAC